AGGAGAAGUCCGUUCUGAAUCGAAGCACUGUGUUUUUUUCCCCUAAAAGGAAAUAAAAUGUGCUCUCGUUGGAUCGAAAGGGAAUCGGGUUAAUAUUCCCGAACCUGGACACGGAGAUUGGUCCUUUGGGGCCAUGUGCGGCAACGCAAACGAAG
rnacentral:rRNA from 1 species